GACAGAGGGUGCAAACGUUGCUCGGAAUCACUGGGCGUAAAGGGCGUGUAGGCGGGAAGGAAAGUCGGGCGUGAAAUCCCUGGGCUCAACCCAGGAACUGCACUCGAAACUUCUUUUCUUGAGUGCCGGAGAGGAAAGCGGAAUUCCUGGUGUAGAGGUGAAAUUCGUAGAUAUCAGGAGGAACACCAGUGGCGAAGGCGGGUCUCCUGGGCCGUAACUGACGC
rnacentral:rRNA from 1 species